GGAUGAUGUAGCGGGCGGAAUUAAGGACGUUGCGUGUGCAUGGCUGAGGCGCGUUUGAACUAGACGGAGAGCGGCGGCUUCAAGAUCGGAGUUCUCUGUUCAACUAGCGAUGGGUGCGAGGCAACAGAACACGAAGGAGUCUUACCACAAGUGGGGAGCCCUGAAGUCGAGUGGCGAGAUCAUGGUAGAUUAGAUCGUGGUUGAGUCCGCAAUUUGCAAUCUGCAUUUUCAAUGCGGACCAAUUUAGCGGUUACUUGGAGGUUCCUUGGCGUUGGACGGGUGACAAAGCACCAAAGCUAAGUUCAAAUUAAAUCUAAAAUAAC